rnacentral:rRNA from 1 species
GAGCGCAGGCGGGAAGACAAGUUGGAAGUGAAAUCCAUGGGCUCAACCCAUGAACUGCUUUCAAAACUGUUUUUCUUGAGUAGUGCAGAGGUAGGCGGAAUUCCCGGUGUAGCGGUGGAAUGCGUAGAUAUCGGGAGGAACACCAGUGGCGAAGGCGGCCUACUGGGCACCAACUGACGCUGAGACUCGAAAGUGUGGGUAGCAAACAG